GUCGUAGUUUGUUUUUUUACUUUCGGUUUGAAUUCAGUGAACUGCUUGGGUUUUAACAAUAAUCAAUGAAAUCUAUUUGCACUUGUGUUACAAAGUGCGAAUGGGGAAAUGAGAAAUCCCCUUUUUAAUUGUUACGGUGGGAUAUUUAAAUUUUGAUUACAGUUACCAUUACGACGCUGCAUGGGCACAUGCGUCAGCGAUUGUUAUUAAUCAUCGAGCCCUAUAGGGUCGGAAAGUCUCGUUUACUUUCACUUUCGAUUUACUACUUCCGGGCAGCUGUCGAAAAAUGUCACUUUGUUUUGCUUUGGUUAUGCUCAGAUGACAGCGUUAAAAUGAACCUACAGCCUAUAUAGAUUCCCUACUUAUGCAAAGAGAGGAAGAAGUGGAUUUAUAGAUGCAGAUGCUGUUAUAUACAUCAUUACCGUCAGAAGUAUCAAUGUGUUGGUGGCUGUUAUGAAGAGAAUGGGCCCAUUUUAACAACUUCUAGGAUGGGCGGUACAAGGGUUCAUACCAGUGACCAAUGAAGCACAGCUGUUACAAGACCAGGAAGAGUCAAAUUCAUGUGGAGUGUGCAAUUGAAUUUAAUUAAAAACAUCCAUAUUCUAAAUCAUAUACCUUCACAAUACAGACAUAUAUAUCUGUCCACUAAGAUUUUCAACUCUGUGUGACUCUUGUACAUUUGCAAAUCCUCUACUGAAGGAAAUAGCUGAUAUGAAUUUCACAAUUAAUUAAAUCUUACCUUUGGACUUAGAUACUAUAAAUGUACAACUUCUUACUCACAUUAUUCUGGAUUGUCAAGUUGUAUUAAAUGCAUUCAAGUAAAUGAUAAAGUGAACAUUUAUUUAAGGUUGCUAGUCAAAGAAAUUGUUACAAUGGUGAUUCAUGCACAUCUUCACACUGAUCAUUUGUAGCAAAAACAAAAUAAAACUAAUGGAAGACAUUUGAAUUUUCA